rnacentral:rRNA from 1 species
UACGAGGGGGGCAAGCGUUGUUCGGAAUUAUUGGGCGUAAAGCGCGCGCAGGCGGCCUUUUAAGUCUGAUGUGAAAGCCCACGGCUUAACCGUGGAAGGUCAUUGGAAACUGGAAGGCUUGAGUACAGAAGAGGAAAGCGGAAUUCCACGUGUAGCGGUGAAAUGCGUAGAGAUGUGGAGGAACACCAGUGGCGAAGGCGGCUUUCUGGUCUGUAACUGACGCUGAGGCGCGAAAGCGUGGGGAGCAAACAGG